rnacentral:rRNA from 1 species
UACGUAGGCAGCGAGCGUUUGUUCGGAGUUACUGGGCGUAAAGGGUGUGUAGGCGGUUUUCUAAGUUUGGUGUGAAGUCUCCCGGCUCAACCGGGAGGGUGCGCCGAAAACUGGGAGACUAGAGUGCGGGAUGGGAGAGUAGAAUUCCUGGUGUAGCGGUGAAAUGCGUAGAUAUCAGGAGGAAUACCGGUGGUGUAGACGGCUCUCUGGACCGCCACUGACGCUGAGACACGAAAGCGUGGGUAGCAAACAGG